rnacentral:lncRNA from 1 species
CCCAGACACCCCCUUAGUGGGCACCCCAAUUUCUUGAGACCUGGGCACCCCCUUACUGGGCACCCCAAUUCCUCGGGGCCCAGACACCCCAGUACCAGGCACCCCAAUUUCUUGGGGCCCGGUCACCCCGAUCCCUCCAGGCCUGGGCACCCUGAUCCCGGGUACCCCAAUUUUGGGCACCCCAAACUUUCAGGGUCCCAGCACCCCCAUCUCUUGGGGGUCUGGGCACCCCAAUUUUGGGCACCCCAAUCCUUUGGGGGUCCUGGCACCCCAAUCCCUCGGGUCUGGGCACCCCAAAACCCAGAGCACCCCAAUCCCUUGGGACCCUGCACCCCAAUUCUUUGGGGGUCCAGCGCUGGGGCUGGGGGGGCAGGAAAAUGAUUUUUGAGGUAAAAAAUGGGGAUUUUGAGAAAAGGGAAUUUUUUUUUUUUAUUAUUCUUCCUAAGAAUGAAGGUUUCUGAGGGAAAAAGGGGCUGGUUCUGAGGGGGAAAAAAAAAAGGAGCUUUUGGUAAAAAGCAGGAGCUCUGAGAAAAAAAAAAAAAAAAAAUAAAAAGGUAAUUCGAAUUUUAAAAUCA